UUAAACGCGAUGAAGAGAAGAGUAAAUAACGUCAAUUCUUUACAGAGAGCUCCGGAUGCUGAAAAGGAGUAAGAAUGUCUUAUUGAAACAAGCCUCUGAGCAGCACAUCGGAACGUAUCGUGAUGGUGUGACAGAUACUCCUGUUAUAGAGCUAGGGUAUAAGCUGAUUGCCGUACCUGAAAAGGUUAAUAUGGUGACAUAUUAAUAAACUGGGGUGGUACCACGAACUUUUAAUCUCGUCCCCAAG
rnacentral:ncRNA from 1 species